AUGGAACAACCCAGCCGCCUUGGAGCUCGCCUCGCCUCCGGCCCACCACCUCUCCGUCGGCCUCGUGCUCCUUCGCCGCGAUCCGUUCGCCCUGCCGCUGGAUCCACGCCGGAGCAGCCGUAUCCGCCGCCCAGACCACCAACCAAGAGUCGCCUCUUGCCUGUCCUGCGGUCCGGAGGAAGACGACCGAGAGGAGCGCCCAUUCAUCCACCCCCUUGGAGCUCGUGCUGCCUUCGGGCCGCCACCUCUCCGUCGGCCUCGAUCCGUCUGCCCCGCCGCCCAGCCCACCAACCAAGCGCCGCCUCUUGCCUAUCCUGUGGUCGCAGGUCGAAUAAUAAAAACUGCAGGGUCCUUUAUGUAAAAGCGAAUCAUUUUUUCGGAUUAGCCACUUAA
rnacentral:rRNA from 1 species